UCAUCAAGAGCAAGCCUUAGAAGAGCUGGCUGCCUCCGGUUAUCACCUCCAUCAAUGUCAGUGAUCCCACUGAUGAACUCUUCCUGGGUAACUGCAUGCCUUGAAUGUAGAGAGAAAACAGGUUUUGAAGCCCUCAUUACUUCAUGAUACCUCUCAGGAGAGAUCCCCACCCUCUCUAUAAUCUCUUCCUCUGUCGGCUGUCUUUGAAGUUCAACCAACAACUCAAGUUUGGCUUUCUGGAUCUCUACUCUUACUGAUUCAAGACCAAACGAGACACGUGUAAAGCUCGAGAGUGUCAUUGAACGUAUUAUGGCAUGUCUAAUCCAAAAAAGACUAUAUGUUGAGAGCCGAAAUCUCCUUUUGGGUUCAAA
rnacentral:misc_RNA from 1 species